UGCCGCGUGUGUGAAGAAGGUCUUCGGAUUGUAAAGCACUUUCGACGGGGACGAUGAUGACGGUACCCGUAGAAGAAGCCCCGGCUAACUUCGUGC
rnacentral:rRNA from 1 species